GAAAAGGGGCCGGGUGCCUAAUACAUGCAAGUCGAGCGGAUCUUCAUUAGCUUGCUUUUGAAGAUCAGCGGCGGACGGGUGAGUAACACGUGGGCAACCUGCCUGUAAGACUGGGAUAACUUCGGGAAACCGGAGCUAAUACCGGAUAAUCCUUUUCCUCUCAUGAGGGAAAGCUGAAAGACGGUUUCGGCUGUCACUUACAGAUGGGCCCGCGGCGCAUUAGCUAGUUGGUGAGGUAACGGCUCACCAAGGCGACGAUGCGUAGCCGACCUGAGAGGGUGAUCGGCCACACUGGGACUGAGACACGGCCCAGACUCCUACGGGAGGCAGCAGUAGGGAAUCUUCCGCAAUGGACGAAAGUCUGACGGAGCAACGCCGCGUGAGCGAUGAAGGCCUUCGGGUCGUAAAGCUCUGUUGUCAGGGAAGAACAAGUAUCGGAGUAACUGCCGGUACCUUGACGGUACCUGACCAGAAAGCCACGGCUAACUACGUGCCAGCAGCCGCGGUAAUACGUAGGUGGCAAGCGUUGUCCGGAAUUAUUGGGCGUAAAGCGCGCGCAGGCGGUUCCUUAAGUCUGAUGUGAAAGCCCCCGGCUCAACCGGGGAGGGUCAUUGGAAACUGGGGAACUUGAGUGCAGAAGAGGAGAGCGGAAUUCCACGUGUAGCGGUGAAAUGCGUAGAGAUGUGGAGGAACACCAGUGGCGAAGGCGGCUCUCUGGUCUGUAACUGACGCUGAGGCGCGAAAGCGUGGGGAGCGAACAGGAUUAGAUACCCUGGUAGUCCACGCCGUAAACGAUGAGU
rnacentral:rRNA from 2 species